rnacentral:misc_RNA from 1 species
AAGUCGUAACAAGGUUUCCGUAGGUGAACCUGCGGAAGGAUCAUUAUAAAAUUUUCAUAUAUUAUUUAUUUAAUAUAUAAAAUUAUACAAAAAUGUAUUCAAAACCCACACUCUUUAUAACCAUAAAAAAACAUUAUAUCUCGUAUAUAAUAUAAAAAAACAACUUUCAACAACGGAUCUCUUGGCUCUC